AUGGCCAGUACAACAAGAUGUCCCCAGCAGUGCGAUGAUGACUCUUAUGCCUUAGUGGUAAUCAACAGCUGUCUAAUUGGACUUAAGACAGUAAAGAGAAUCCAUGUCUGGUACUAUAAACCUCGCCAGCUACCUGCAGUUAGAGAAGCCACAGACCUGAAAAGAAAACCAACUACUGCCACUUUCCUACUUCUUUGGUCUCUGGAUACAGCACAGCAACGCUUUCUGCCAGCAGUGCAUACCUCCCAUGGUGCAGGAGAGCCACAGAAGCCUGGUGUCCAGUGCAGCCUUGUCAGUGUACACGGUUCUCCUGCAACUGCUUCUCCAGACUCUGUGUGGCCAAGAGCUUUAGGCAACAGCAGUGGUUCCAAACUUCAGCUCCAGGUUCUAGAGGUGAUUGAAAUUCAUCUAAAUGCCAAGCCGAUCAAAACAGAGCCAGCAAUGGAUUUAAGAAAUUCGGAAUACAUUCAUGCUUUCCCCAGAGGGUAAGUACUCCUUGAUGUUAAAGACUGUGAUGCCUGAAGCAUGGAAAGCAUGAGAAGACCCUGGAGGCCACGUGACUGACCUAGCUUCCUCCUCCCACAGAUGAGAAAGCGGGAAUCCAGAUAACUUAAAUGCCUUGCCCAAAAUUGCUGGGUUUAGCUCUCAACUUAAAAUAUGCAUGUAGAUGUUUACCUGAUUAAAUGUGCCAGUGAAUGUGUCCAGGUCAUUAACUGCUGCGGAUAAUCUCGACAAGCCUUUGAAUGGUCUCAUCUAGACUUUGCAUCUAGCUGAUGCGUAACAAAUUGAAACAGCUCUGGUGUGUUCAAGGUCAGACAUUCCACAACGCUUUUAGGAAGCAAGGGUGGUAUAAAGAAAAUUAGCAGGGCUAUUUCUCAGCAGGAGGUUUACUGUUUCAUCAGAACAGUCAUUG
rnacentral:sRNA from 1 species